rnacentral:lncRNA from 1 species
UGGGAGGUUUAGUUUUUAUAAAAUUAAGUAUUUAAGUUUUGAAUUUUUUUUUUAUAAAUUUAGUAUCCUAAGGUGUUUUUAUUGGACAUUUUCUUCACUGUUUAACUGGUCUCAGAGUUGUAGAUCAAUUUCUCUAAGACUCAUCUUAUCCCAAUGGGUGUUGAUCUAAUGGGGUAAGCAGUUUGCCACUUUCUUAUCUUGGUAUUAAGUUGGGC